rnacentral:rRNA from 1 species
GGAAUCUUGGGCAAUGGGCGCAAGCCUGACCCAGCCAUGCCGCGUGUGUGAAGAAGGCCUUCGGGUUGUAAAGCACUUUCAUGGGGGAAGAAAAGCUUGGGGCUAAUACCCUCGGGCCUUGACGUUAACCACGGAAGACGCACCGGCUAACUCCGUCCCAGCAGCCGCGGUAAUACGGAGGGUGCGAACGUUAAUCGGAAUUACUGGGCGUAAAGCGCGCGUAGGCGGUCCGGCAAGUGGGAUGUGAAAGCCCUGGGCUUAACCUGGGAACUGCAUUCCAAACUAUCGGGCUAGAGUAUGGUAGAGGGAGGUGGAAUUUCCUGUGUAGCGGUGAAAUGCGUAGAUAUAGGAAGGAACACCAGUGGCGAAGGCGGCCUCCUGGACCAAUACUGACGCUGAGGUGCGAAAGCGUGGGGAGCAAAC